rnacentral:lncRNA from 10 species
AGAAGGUUCCCCGUACGGCGCUAAGGGCGGAGUCCGUCUAGACGUUCUACCUGGGGCUCGACCCCUGGGCCUGCAGGUCACGGAGUAGGUGUGGGUCCCGCCACUGCCGGUUAUUGGCAUGGGAAGGCGGGCCGAUUACCCCUUGGGGCCUCGGGCCUCGGUUUCCACGUCUGUAAAAUCUUGUGAGAGUGAGGAACAUUGGAUUGCAGGACAGGUCUCUCAGUCCUCCAAAGGUGUCCGCUAGCCUGCGAGUGCCUGCGGGACCCACAGCUGGUUCCGGGGGGCUCCUUAGGCAUUUGUGGCCAGCAUGGUGCCCGGGAGCUCCGUGACUCACAGGUCAGGGAUGCGGUAGAGGGCUUCCCUGAGGAGGCAUUUCUUGACUCUGGAGGCUGUGAGGAGGUCCCUGGACAGCUCUGCCCUGCAGCCGCCCGGUACUGAUGGUGAUGUGGUGGAGGCAAGAUAGUCGGCCAGGGAACUGGGCAGCCGUGGGAGGAGACUCUGUAGAGUAGGGGGCCCGAGGCCACCCUUUCCCGAAGGGCACGCCAGAGAAUCUGUGGUCGAAUCCCAGAGCUGCUGCUGUGUCCUGAUUGGCGGUCCAGUGCUCUGAGAGCCUUUCUGUUAACUGCUGAAGUGGUUUGCUGCGCUUUCACCUUCCCAUUAAUGUUUUCCAUACACUCCCAUAACUAAGGUAACCUGAAGAUAACCUAGUUUCCUGUAGUUUAAAUGGUCAAAAGGUUGAAGAGGCAGCACACAGUAUGUAUCGAGUAAAUGGUAGCUGAUUAUUACUAGGUAAAAGAAGUGUUAUAAACGAGAAAGAACAGCUAUUGUGGACAUCUACUCUUUGUCUUUGACAGUGUGUAUCACCUAUGGUGUUUGUAGGAUUGGUUCAGGGGUGGUGUGUGACCUAAGAUGUACAGUCUCCACGUACAGUAACACACGUGUGUGUGUACACGUGUGUGUGUACACGUGUGUGUGUGCACGUGUGUGUGUGCACGUGUGCGCGCACGUGUGUGUGCACGUGUGUGUACACACAUAUAUGCACACACAUGUAUACACACACACACACACAAUCCCCAAGUAUACAUUGUUAUUAAUGGUCCAGAUUAAUGCCAUUCAAAGUAGUUCCCCAAGUUAAGAGCAACUUACGGUAGACUCCUAUUUCAAUUAAUAACUUGAAAAAAUCACUUGCAAUAAAAUAGCAGGUUAACUAGAUACUACACACAUUCCAAUCCUGUAAAAGUUUCUCAGAGAAACACUGUUAGAUAUAGUUACAUUCCAGGAGUUUGGCUACAUCAAUAGCUACAGAAGAGUUGAUGUUCUCACAGUAGAACUCUCUUUUUCUCAUACUUGAAAUAAAAAAGAACCUUUCUUUUCUUCCUUUGAUCUUUCUUCCCUCGCCAGCCCUCCAUUGCACUUGGCUGGGUAACAGGGUCCAUGAGUUGCAGCUACAGGUAGGGCAGCGUCUCCUGGGAAUCCCCAGGGAGAUGAGGGUCAGCACACCCCUAAGCUCCAGGUCAUCAGCGGCCUCCUCACACAGCUCGAGCUCACCCCCAUCUGCCUUCCUGGUUGUCAUUGGACAGGAAUUUUAUUUUCUGAGAUGAUGGAGGCAGGUAUAAUGUUCUUGACCAUCGGAUACCUUCUGUUGUUGUUCCUCUUAAGGAAGAAAUCAUUUAUUUCUUCCUUCACUAGUUAUAGUAAGUGCUGAAAUCUUCUAAAUAUAUUUAUCAUCUUUCAUACUUUAAAGAAUGAAUAUUUAUGAAUUGAUUGUGAGUACUCUGAGAUCUUCUGAUAUUCAUAAACCUAUAGGAAAGAUCUGCUUUAUAUUUCACAUUCUCUGGACUGCAGAUAAGUUCACAUUUUAAAGAUGUAUAUUACCUUAAUGAGCAGAACUAUGACCUGUUUAACGAAUAUGUUUCUUUCCAAUUGUAAAAGUAACACAGGUUCAUUGUAGAACACCUGGAAAAUAUAGGAAAAUUCCGAAAAGAAAAUAAAAAUCACCUUGAAUCAUUUAUGGAAAUAGAAAAUAGGAACAAUGUUAAUAACAAUGUCAAUAAUAUGUGCUGUGCUGGUCACAUUGUAUAGUAGAUGGAGACUGCUGUAUGUUAACCAGCACUACUGAAACAUAAUAUAAUUUGAGCAAGUUGCAGGGUCUUGCCUAAGUAAAAAUAGCUUCUUUACCAGUUUGGAAUGGUGCCAACAUGCCAUUAUCUCCUGAAGAGCCACAUUAAAAGGCACCUGUUGCUUAGGGAUGGUCCGGA